UACAUUUUUUAAAAUAUUUUGGGGACAUAAAAUUAGGGCCAUUAAUAUUUGUACUGAGAUUUGUCAUGGACUUUUUUGCCCUUGUUAAUCACAGCUGAGUGCACUCCAGAGGAAGCUUUCAAAAUUGUAGGCGACAACAUUAUAUUUGCAAGUGGAAGUCCAUUUAGAGAUGUUGAUCUUGGAAAUGGUCGUAUAGGGCAUUGCAACCAAGAAAACAACAUGUAUCUCUUUCCAGGUAUUGGGCUUGGAACUCUUCUGUCUGACGCUAGGCUCAUUUCGGAU